rnacentral:rRNA from 1 species
GACGAACGCUGGCGGCAUGCCUAAUACAUGCAAGUCGAGCGAACAGAUGAAGUGCUUGCACUUCUGACGUUAGCGGCGAACGGGUGAGUAACACGUAAGGAAUCUACCUAUAAGCGGGGGAUAACAUUCGGAAACGGGUGCUAAUACCGCAUAAUAUCUUCUUCCGCAUGGAAGAAGAUUGAAAGACGGCUCUGCUGUCACUUAUAGAUGACCUUGCGGUGCAUUAGUUAGUUGGUGGGGUAAUGGCCUACCAAGACGAUGAUGCAUAGCCGACCUGAGAGGGUGAUCGGCCACAUUGGGACUGAGACACGGCCCAAACUCCUACGGGAGGCAGCAGUAGGGAAUCUUCCGCAAUGGGCGAAAGCCUGACGGAGCAAUGCCGCGUGAGUGAAGAAGGCCUUCGGGUCGUAAAACGUACUGUA